GACGAACGCUGGCGGCGUGCCUAAUACAUGCAAGUCGAACGCAGUGGGGACGGGUGAGUAACAAGUGGGUAACCUCCCAUCAGAGGGGAUAAAACUUGGAAAAAGGUGCUAAACCGAUACGGAUGGAGGGACCCGCGGUGCAUUAGUGAGAUGGGGAGGUAACGGCUCACAAGGGCCACGAUGCAGAGCCGACCUGAGAGGUGGAUCUGCCACACUGGAACUGAGACACGGCCCAGACUCCUACGGGAGGCAGCAGUAGGGAAUCUUCGGCAAUGGGCGAAAGUCUGACCGAGCAACGCCGCGUGAGUGAAGAAGGUUUUCGGAUCGUAAAACUCUGUUGUUAGAGAGGCGGUAUCUAACCAGAAAGCCACGGCUAACUACGUGCCAGCAGCCGCGGUAAUUC
rnacentral:rRNA from 1 species